AGGUUUUCCACCGGGCAGAACAUGGCUGAUGCUCUGCAGUGCUCCCAUCUCUCCAGUUGUGGAGUUGCAUGCUGACGGGGAUCGAUGGGACUUUGGACUCUGAAAUGCUAUGAGGCAGGGGCAGCUCCCAGGUGGGAGCCUCGUGGCUGGAGUGGAUGCAGUCACCUGGAGUUCGGGGACGACAAUGAGGCAUGAAACAAAACGAUUGCUGCAGAUGGCAGGGCCACUGGCCAGAGGGAAGGCACUGGGGAUAGGAUUCUGUGGACCCAUUGAUCGUGUGUUGAAAACCCAUUUGGAUCUCAUGAUGAAUGUAAAAAUGUUCUUGGUACCAUUUAAUUCAGACCUGCUUGGAGGAAAGUCUCUUGAAAUGAGCUGUAGCGGGAUUCCCUGGAUUUGUUCCUGGACAAGAAGAAAACUAGCGAUUUGUUCCUGUGACGUUGCGUGGAAACCACAUUGUAAAGAAACCACAAACUGGAAUCAUUUUCCAGCCGGAGCCCUGUUUCCCAGUGUGCCCAUCUGGUCUGGCAUGCAAUGAGCGUUGAAGGAGUGAGAGGACAGAGCAGACGUCUUACAGCCUGCUCCUUGGGACCACAGCCCUCCUGCCAGGCCAUGCCACUCAGCGGGAGCAUAGCAUUACCUGGCCUUUGCAGGCACUCCGUCUGCUGUGUGCACGGAAGCUGUAAUGCCGGGAGUGUGGCAAUAUGGAGAUCAGUCUAUCUGGGUCUAUUUAAUAUGAAAUGGUGAUCGCUCAUCCGCCCACUGUUUAGUAACUGGUGUAACUGUGUUUUCAUCUGUAUUUUUUUAAAUAUGCAAAAGCCAUUUAAUUUUCUAUGCAGUUCAAAAAGUUUCCUCUUUGCAACUGACAGGUGGGAGAUCUUUGCAGGAGAACCAAGCCAAGUGGCUGAUAGUCCUUUUGAUUUUGCUGUCACUGUCUCUUAAGGAUGCGUCCUGGAAUCCUCUGCACACAAUGUCCCUUUGCUGAGCUCCUGCCUCUUAGAUCCCACCUAACAUCUCUGAGCCCCAGGGAUGAGGGCCCCGUAUUUUUGAAGGAUCUAUCAUUUUUCAUGAGUCAAACUACAAGGAAAGAGAGCUUUAAGGUGGUGCCCUAAUAGCAGAGAUACCUGAGUUCAGAGCUAUUAUAUUCCUGUUCUUGUCCCUGCUCUGAGAGUUACUGAACUGUUAGAAAUGACUAAGGCCUCUGUGGAGCACCCUGCAGCCUUUUCUGAAAGUGUGUUAUAAAGAGGGCAGGAAGUACUGGGGCAUCAGUUGUCUCCCUGUGGAGCUGACAAUGAAUUUAACCCCUUUGGAACAGCAGAAUCUCCUGGUACUAGAUGCCUACUUCACUCAAGAGGACUGCACUGGUUUUGCCUAUUGGUUUGCAGACCCCUUUCUUGUUGACCAGUUGAUUUCCUACUGAAACUGGUGCUGAUGGGUUUGGAAGCAGAGCUGGCAAGCUGCUUUGCGCUGCAGGACGUUCAGCAGAUGGAAUAUGUCCUGGAGUACCUUGCGUUAUGCUCUGAAGCAAAACCUGGGAUUCGAACCUGCAUCCGUCCAAGUGAAACUCCCAGGAUAGCAGCUUUGCCUUCUGCUGGGUCUGUGUAAUAUGUCAGAAAUUGCAUAUCCCUAAACAGCACGCAAAUCUGUUGAGGUAGAGUGAGAGGGAGCCCAAAUGGUGAUGCUGCACAUCUAGCUCAUCAUAGAGCUUGCAGGGGCACUUAGAGGCCUCUGGCAACUGCAGAGUGUCCUGGGUGAUGGGACACCUCUGCUUUAACUGUGCUGAAGGCAGUAAGGUCAGAGAAAUAAGAUUGUUUCCAACCUUCCCCAAGGCCAGGAUACGUUUGACUAGUCUUCUUUCAUGGCAAAGCUGUUCUUUCUGCAUUUUGUGUCUGCUCUGAGCUUGGAGGAUUCACCUUCAAACAGAAUUAGAGACCAGAGUUGAAUUUAACCUGCCUUGUGGUCUCUCAAAUCAGAUGGAAGAAAGUGGGGGCUGCAGAAGCAAGAGUCAUCUCCCUUACAGCAUCCCCCAUGCUGCAAUGCCACAGUGGCUGUGAAAACUCAAUAGUGUAUUUGGGUGCUGCGUUCCCAGGAACCCAAUAUGUGCUUGGCUGUGCUGUAGCACCAGAGCUUGCAUGGGGACCCUAUUCUCUUCCCCUUUGUACCUCUGAGGUAGUUAAAGUCUGCAGAGCAGCAGGGGCUCCUCACUGUGAGGAAACAGACAUGGUUGUGUUGAAGGGAACUGCAAAUGGUAUUUAGGAGCUCACUAAGUGAGAUGAAAACCCACUGGCUCACUCCUGCAGAGCCAGAUCCUGGAGCUCAGCUCCUCCUGCACCCUUUGAAUGGGAUCUUGGGCUGGCAUCCUUGCAACAGCAGUGUGGGGAGGUAGAGAUGCUGCACUGCAGUAAGCACAAGACGAGGCAAGCAAGUGGGCCUCAGUGUAGCACUCAUCACGCGCUUCAUGGCUCAGUUCAUGGACUGUAAUUGCAGGUAUUCAUAUAAUCUGCAUCACUGGGCAGGACUCUACGCACACACACACACAUGCAUGCCCAGACGUACACACACCACACCCACACUUGCCCACACAUCCUCGCCAAAACAACUGAAAAUAAAAGUGAUCUCAAGGAG
rnacentral:lncRNA from 1 species